UACGGAGGGGGCUAGCGUUGUUCGGAAUUACUGGGCGUAAAGCGCACGUAGUCGGCUUUGCAAGUCGGUUGUGAAAUCCCCGGGCUCAACCUGGGAACUGCAUCCGAGACUGCAUUGCUAGAGUAUGGGAGAGGAAAGCGGAAUUUCUGGUGUAGCAGUGAAAUGCGUAGAUAUCAGAAGGAACAUCAGUGGCGAAGGCGGCUUUCUGGACCAAUACUGACGAUCAGGUGCGAAAGCGUGGGGAGCAAACAGG
rnacentral:rRNA from 1 species